ACCGGGCUUGGUAACGCAAGCCUGUCACCCAAGUGGGGGUAAUAAAAUGGAGGUAGUUAAUUGGUUUUG
rnacentral:SRP_RNA from 1 species